GACGCAGUUCCUUCUACUCGGAUCGUCCGGCACGUUCCUGCCGGUGGAAAGGAAGUCGUU
rfam:Actinoplanes utahensis strain NRRL 12052 contig137, whole genome shotgun sequence.